rnacentral:rRNA from 1 species
UGAGGAAUAUUGGACAAUGGGCGCAAGCCUGAUCCAGCCAUGCCGCGUGCAGGAAGAAGCAUCUAUGGUGUGUAAACUGCUUUUGUACGGGAAGAAACACUCCUACGUGUAGGAGCUUGACGGUACCGUAAGAAUAAGGAUCGGCUAACUCCGUGCCAGCAGCCGCGGUAAUACGGAGGAUCCAAGCGUUAUCCGGAAUCAUUGGGUUUAAAGGGUCCGUAGGCGGUUUAAUAAGUCAGUGGUGAAAGCCCAUCGCUCAACGAUGGAGCGGCCAUUGAUACUGCUAGACUUGAAUUAUUAGGAAGUAACUAGAAUAUGUAGUGUAGCGGUGAAAUGCUUAGAUAUUACAUGGAAUACCAAUUGCGAAGGCAGGUUACUACUAAUGGAUUGACGCUCAUGCACGAAAGCGUGGGGAGCAAACA